rnacentral:rRNA from 1 species
GCACAAGCGGUGGAUCAUGUUGUUUAAUUCGAUGAUACGCGAAGAACCUUUACCAGGUCUUGACAUCCCAUGCAAGGCUAUAGAGAUAUAGUGGAGGUUACCAUGGAGACAGGUGGUGCAUGGUUGUCGUCAGCUCGUGUCGUGAGAUGUUGGGUUAAGUCCCGCAACGAGCGCAACCCUUAUUGCUAGUUACCAUCAUUAAGUUGGGGACUCUAGCGAGACUGCCAGUGAUAAACUGGAGAAGGUGGGGAUGACGUCAAAUCAUCAUGCCCCUUAUGACCUGGGCUACAAACGUGAUACAAUGGCUGAAACAAAGGGCAGCGAAGCAGUGAUGUGAAGCGAAACCCAAAAAGCAGUCUCAGUUCGGAUUGAAGUCUGCAACUCGACUUCAUGAAGUCGGAAUCGCUAGUAAUCGCGAAUCAGAACGUCGCGGUGAAUACGUUCUCGGGGUUU